ACCCGAAGCAGGCUCUCGGGUCAGCACAGAGCCCGAUGCGGGGCUGAAACCCACGAGCUGGGAGAUCGCGACCUGAGCCGAAGCCAGACGCUUAACUGACUGAACCCCCCAGGCGCCCCUCGACACAGUCGCGUUUUAGAGGCUCAAAGCCAUCAGCGGGAUGGGCUGACCGUGGCAGAAAGAGUGAUGUUGAUAGUCCCCAGCUGCCUUGGUUUGGAGGACGCUGUCCGGUAAUCAGAUUCCAGCCACCGCGUGUGGAUUUGAACCUUGUGCCAGGCUGUUCCCACAUCACCGCACCCAGCCCCAGGACGGAGGUCUGUGACGGUCUCCAUUUUACAGGACAAGACGGGGAAUAAAUAGUGACAAAGAUUCUCUGCUUAGCGAAGCUCUACUCAGCCUUCCCUGAACUUGUCUUCAAGUGGGCAUCUCUGCAUUGUCCAAUUUUAGCAAGAAUCCGGUCAAGUGAGUUGAGCAGAAUCCCCAGCCCCCAUACCUGAUCACCUUCAAUGCCGGGCCACCCCACCCCACCCCCCCCCCCCCGCCCCCAUCCCCCAGGUAACGUCUGAUCACCUGACCCGCCUUCAGCACGAAUCCUGUUGGGUCAGGUUAGCCAGAAUCCUGCCUUGUUCCCGAUGUUUCCUAGUCUUCUAUCCACUGACCACCCCCCGACCCUGGGCUCAGCUGUACGUGCCCGCUCACCCUGCCAUGUUCGGGGUGGGGCUGCGCCAUCCCACGGUCUCUCUCCCCCUUGUUGCCACGGUCUUGAAUCAAAUCUGCUUUUAUCCCUCCAACUCAGCUCAGUGGUCAAAACGCAGAGACCCUCCCAAGAUGAGUACGGUCAGGAGCGUGGACUUGGGUGUAAGACAGACCAGCAUCCGAACGCCGCUUGGCCACUUACCAGCUCUGUGAGCUGGGGCGAGAGACCAAGCCUUGAUUUUUAGUCAUCUAUAAAAUGGGGACAAUGACAAUAAUGCAGCCCAGGGUUUCUGUAAUGAUUAAAUGAGACAAUGCUGUAAAGGGCCUUUCUGGAAAGGUCUGGAAAACAGCCUGUGCACAAUAAAUAUUGGUGGGAUGGGUGUGCAAAUAGGCUUAGGGGAGAAUGGCCCCAGCUAAGGUGGAAACCAGAGAUAGAGGGGAGUUUGCAUCAGAUCAACCAACAGGGCAAGCGUGUUCAAAUCCCAGACAGUCCCCACCACACACACACACACACACACACACACACACACACACACACACACACACAGUGAGCCAGCAGCCAGCUACUCCUCAAUGGCCUCCUGCCCAUUUGACCGCAUCAAAUGAAGGUGCGCUGUGUGUGCUGACCAAUGACAGGCUGCCGCGUUGGGUAAGAGGCCCCUCGGGCCCCUCUGAAUAGGCGUCAGAAGCCAGCUGACCCCCUGGAAACUACAUCACCUAAUUCAGCAUUCCCUGGCCCCUUCCAAACAGACACACCGAACACAGGCGACUCUGACCUGGUCUCAGCUGAAACCACUCUUCUGGGAACCACGGAGAGGCCCCACCGUCCCUCCCAAGCCUGACCAAGGGCCAGGACAAAGGGGGCGGGGGGUCCAGGCCAUCCGUCAUAGAAGGUUCCGCUUCUCCUCGUUAAUUCAAGAGCAUCCACGGCUCCUGCUGAGCAGCUGAAGAGCUCUCUGGAACCUCUUUUCAACUGAAAACAGUAAUUUGCAAGAGCUCACAAUGCAAGCAGCAGACGGGAUGCACAGUUGAACCACAGCCACAGCGGCCUUUCUCAUAGCCCGCAGCCUGUGGCGGGGCUCUGAGGCUGGGCAGCUGCCACGGGCCACCGGGAGGGUCCGCGGACAGGAGGAGGGCACAUGCUGACAGCUCCCUGGAACCAGCUGGGGUUUUUAAUGCAAAGGGGCGGCAAGCCUAUCACGUCUGGAAUAUUUUCCAAAUAAGAAAUAACCAAACUAGGGGGCUUAAUACAACAGAAACGUAUCUUCUCAUAGACCUGGGGGCCAGAAGUCCACAAUCAAGCUGUCGGAAGGGCUGGUUCCUUCCGGAGGUUCUGAGGGAGCAUCCGUUCCGUGCCUGUCUCCUAACUUCCGACCUCAGACUCUGGUGGGUGUCUUACACUGAUGCGCAUCUCAGAUCACGCCAUCCACACCUUGAUGGCUUGGUGGACGCACGGCGCCGGCGAUCCCGCAGAGGAAGGUGUCGCUCGGCAGAUCUAGCUGUUUGUGGAUUUGCAGAGCCGGGCAAAACGCUCUAGACGCAUCCCACUCCAAGUUAAGACGCGUCACGGCUGCCGCUCCACUGGCCUCCUUAGGUGGGAGGCGAGGGAACCGGCGAACUGUGUCUCUGGGAUCCCAGCUCUCCAGGUACCAGGUGACUCACCCCAUGCGCCCCCAACCUCCAGCUCUCCUGCGUUCCCCACCCCAACCCUGUGGUCGGUCCCGGGCCGCUCAGCUGAGGGCCCGCCGGGGGGCUGACUGAGCCCAGCCCGCUCUGGGGCCAAUCUGGGCUCACGUGAUCUUAGCCCGGGGACCCCAGGGAUCCGACCGAAGGAGCUUCUGGCGGCCAGCGCGACUGGCACGGCGGCCCGUGCCCAGCUUUGAACCCAGCUCAGCAGCUCCUACCUGGCAGAGUUGCCCCCGCCCUGUCCCGGAAGACUGGGCUCCUCAUAAACCUCCUCCUUCACAGGCUUGACGGGAGGGCCCGAUCAACAGCCGUAAGGAUCGCCUUCAUCUCUCGAACAUUUACGUCAAACGCUGAGCGUGUGCCAGAGAUGUGCUAUUUUUAUUCCAUUUUACAGAUGGGGAAACCGAGACUCUGGGAGAUGAGAUCACUUGCCCAGCAUUGCACGGCCAGCAGAUGAUGGAUUCUGUGACAACAGACCCUUGUUCACAGGGAAGUGGUGGGGAUGAAAGAAGUUAGUAAAUUAAAUGAAAUCAUUCA